rnacentral:lncRNA from 1 species
UUAAUUUUAUAAAUUUACUGUUUGCAAAAGUAUAAAUUAUUCUAAAUAAUAAGGAUGUUCUGGUAACUAACAGAAAACCUGGGCGUUUUUGGCACAACUUUUUUUAUCUUUUGGUCCUCGAUGCUGUUCGACUUUGUGCUUGUUUCGGCUUUCAAACUUUUGUAUCUGGGCAUCACUAGUAGAUCUUGUGUGGAUAAAAUGCACUUCUGGCGUAUUAAAAUUUUCAACUUGUUGCCUUUUGUUGGCUGUUGUUCGUGUGUUUCUUUGUCAAUUGUAUUCUCCAAUUUAUUUAUAUUGUAGUCCUGUAGUGUUGAGUUGUUAUCUUAAUGUUAUAUUUCACAUGGCUAUAAAAGGGGAGGUUUGGCAUGCCACAAAACCAGGUUCAACCCGCC